UCUGCCACCGAAUACAUUAGCAUGGGAUAAUGGAAUAGGACCCUGUCCUCCACUUCAGUUGGUUAACUUGUAGAGGAUCAGGGUAAUGAUUAAUAGGGAUAGUUGGGGGCAUUAAUAUUUAAUUGUCAGAGGUGAAAUUCUUGGAUUUAUGAAAGAUUAACUUCUGCGAAAGCAUCUGCCAAGGAUGUUUUCAUUAAUCAAGAACGAAAGUUAGGGGAUCGAAGACRAUCAGAUACCGUCGUAGUCUUAACCAUAAACGAUGCCGACCAGCGAUUAGGAGACGUUGAAUACAAAACACCACCAUGCAUAAUUCAGUAUAUGGSCAGUCAAAUGGUUGUAUAUUGUUUGUGUAUGGCACCGGKGAAUGACUCCCCUAGCAGCUKGKGRGAAAA
rnacentral:rRNA from 1 species